AUCACGGUCAUAUAAGUUUGUUGCUGGACUGGCAAAAGGACUACUGCUUUAGUGCUGCAUCUCACAACAUAAGUUCAAUUCUAAGGUCCUCGCUAUCAUCGUUCUUCAAUUGUUCUAUUCCCAGUUUGAGUAUGACAACAUGAGCAUGAUCUCACCUAGCUCAUCAAGAACCAUAUCCUGAGCUGACAAGUCCCUUCAACCUUGGAAUUUAAUCAGAUUGGAGCAUAACAAAGAACCCCAGAGAUAUUCUAAUAAACUAUUGCUCUCCUAGGAGAAAUUGCUGCCUUCCAGGUUGGAAAUCCCUCAAGUCACAUGUUUGAUUGUGCAAUAAAGUGUGAUGGAUUUGGUUCCCUGCACAACAUGGUACCAUGAGGAUCCCUAAGGAAAUUAAGCAUCAUACAGCAGCUGGUAAUACUUAGUGAUCCUUUGUCCCACCAGUUUGAUUUCUUUGACUUCUCAAUAUGGCUUCCCCCUUCUUAGUCUCUCAGAAGGUGUAAAAACAGACCCGCUAGAAUGCCAAAGAGACCACAGCUGACAUACGCAGUCUAUUUCUUUGCAAACUGGCAACAAACCUUGGUACGGAUGUUUCCCCUUGUGAAUGUUUUUACAAAAUGUUAUGUAUUUUGAGAUUGAAAUUCUCACGACUUUCUCAAGUGCCCGUAACGCUUUGAUCACUACUCUACUGCUAUUAAUGUUAAUAAGUAACGAUACAAAACACAAGCUACUAUAAUACUCUGAGGAAGAUAGUUCCUCAGCUGGUGUAACUUGUCCACACUCCACUGGAACUAGAUCCUCCAGCUGAGGAGCUGCCCCUUUAACUUUUCUCCAGAGCCUUUAAUGAGAUGAUGUUGAUGUGGAAGCAACAACUUAUCUCACUUUUUCACCUUUAAAAGGAGCAACAGUUACAUGUUGUUUUGGAUCCUUCCUUUCCCUCUGCCAUUUAAUAUUUUUAAUGUUUAUUUUGUUAUAUUAAUGUAGGGUCAGAUAUUGCUCUAAGAAUGUGUGUGCACCGUGUGUGAAGUCAGCGUAAUUUUUAUUGAGGUCUAUGCACCUAUCUGAUCAUCUCUCUGGUCUGUGGUGGUUGGUAGAUAUGUUUAGCAUGAAUGUGUGGAGGGCUUCCUUGCUUUCCUGCCACUUUCCAGAGGCACUGUUAGUGUAACUCCAAUGCUUGGCAUACAGGGGAGGAUGAAAUGUUUAAAGGGCACUUUAGAACUUGUGUGCCUCUCUAAAAUUGAGGUUGUUCCAGAAGAAAACUAGUUAAACUCUCGUGGCCUGUGAUGGCAUUACAGUCCCUGCAGGCUCUGCUGAGUAUAAAAUAACCCUUGGUACUUUCCUUAAGCAAUAAGAAUACCCAAGUGCGUGCCUCAGGCAGGGCUGUCAGGCAUAAGGCUGACAGCCAAACAAUUUUAACCAACCUGGAAGUAUAAUCCUCUCCAAGAAACCUACUGAUUGAAACGUUGUCUUUCUGUUAUAAAAUAUUAAGUAUAAAAUGGAGGAAACAGUUAAUUAUGUUAGCUAUGACCAGUAAGUGCACAGAUAGAGCAUGUCUUAGUCAAAAAGCUCCCUAAUUUCUGUACAAUUCUGUAGUUAUUUUACAAUUAAGCAAUAAGACACAACUGGUACAUUUCAGGCCAAUUAGUACAAGCUUCAUCGGAUGUUAUGUGGGACUGGGCCAAGGGCCAAUCAGCUAUCUCUGUUUGUACCCAGGUAUCGGAAGCCAUUUCAUAAUUCCCUGUGGCAUAAUUCCACAUGACCGUUUCAAUGAGGUAGUGUAGAACCUGGGUAUCAUAUUAUUUUAAAAAAGUCAACUACGCACCUGCCUGAAAUCCACUUGCAUUCCAGUUGGCAAGCCAAUUGUAUUGCAAACGCUUUGUGCCUUUUUUCUGCAUGAUAAAGCUUUGCACUCCUUAUACA